rnacentral:rRNA from 1 species
GACGAACGCUGGCGGCGUGCUUAACACAUGCAAGUCGAACGGAAAGGCCCUGCUUUUGUGGGGUGCUCGAGUGGCGAACGGGUGAGUAACACGUGAGUAACCUGCCCUUGACUUUGGGAUAACUUCAGGAAACUGGGGCUAAUACCGGAUAGGAGCUCCUGCUGCAUGGUGGGGGUUGGAAAGUUUCGGCGGUUGGGGAUGGUCUCGCGGCUUAUCAGCUUGUUGGUGGGGUAGUGGCUUACCAAGGCUUUGACGGGUAGCCGGCCUGAGAGGGUGAACGGGCUCCAUAGGACUAAGGGAGGGACCAGGAGCCAACCGGACGCAAGAGGGGGGAACAUUACAAAGCAGGGCGGAGCCAGAGACGACAAUCCCCGGUUCGGGAAGAACGGCUUUGGGGUGAGAACCGAUUUGUCCGUAACUCAAGACGUAGUGACGGUAAUGGGUAAAGAAGCACCGGCUAACUACGUG